rnacentral:rRNA from 1 species
UUCGUAUGGAGCGAGCGUUGUCCGGAAUUAUUGGGCGUAAAGGGUACGCAGGCGGUUUAAUAAGUCGAAUGUUAAAGAUCGGGGCUCAACCCCGUAAAGCAUUGGAAACUGAUAAAAUUGAGUAGUGGAGAGGAAAGUGGAAUUCCUAGUGUAGUGGUGAAAUACAUAGAUAUUAGGAGGAAUACCUGUAGCGAAGGAGACUUUCAGGAAACAUAAUGACGCUGAGGUACGAAAGCGUGGGGAGCAAACAGG